UUUCAAUUCGGUUUAUUUCAGUUCGGUUCGGAUCAAUUCGGAUCGAACCGAACUGAAAUAGACACUUCGGUUUUAGCCCUAAAAAGCCCUAUCUCGCCCAGUCGCCCUCUCUCGCGCUCGCAUCUCCCUCUCUCCCUCUCCCUCUCCUCCUCGCCGCUUCGCCUCCGAAAUUUGUGACUCCCCCCUCCGGCUCCGGCCCCGCUGCUGCCGCUGCCUCCGACGGCCGCAGCUCCCGCCGGGACCACGGGCCCGAGCCGGGCAUUUUCCUCCGCCGGUCCGCUCGACCGAGCCCUACCGAGAUGAGAUCGCGACCGAGCCUCACCACCGCGACUCUUACUCCGUCGCGGCGCUUUCAUUCCUCCGGGGUUACCGAGGUGUCGUCGGCUUGCCGCCGAGUCUUUGACGACCGGACGGAGCUCCCUGUCACUGGUGCCCCAUCUCGUGCCGGUUGCUUCCUUUUCCAUUCCUCGGUUCCCCGUCGGCGGCGGCGGCUCUUGGUGCAAGGGCACCGGCGGUAUCAUCCCCAUCACCGAAGCUGCAAAAGUACAGAGCCCCGACAUCGACCACCUCCGCAUCUCCAACUCCCUCUGCUCCGACCCUUCCAAGCGAGUAUUGGCGUACUUUUGGUCCUGUACUUUUGCAAUCCUGGUUCGACAAAGCUCCGAUUUUGUUGCACGAUUCCAAAGCUGAUUCGCGGCCGUGACAAACCCAGAGAGGCCCAGGACCAGCUUCUCGCCCAUCGGUGAGUUCUCAGUUGUCUUCUCUCGGUCAAGUCUUUGAUUGGUUUCGCUUCAGCAGUUUUGUCUUCGUGUACAUCUCGGCUUUGUAUACUCUUCAAUAGUACCAUUCCGUGUGUGAGGGCGUUUGUUGUUCUGCCCUGUUUUCUUGAUCUUCGGUGAUGGUUCUUGUGUCCGCUUGGUGGGGGUUUUUGUGGUUUAGAGAUUGCGAGUCGGAUUGUGAAUUUUUUUUUCGAGGACAAUGGUUUCGUCUGUGUCUUGCUUCUUGUUAUAUGGGUGGCCAAUAGUUUUCAUUUGUUUUAAUUGUUCCUCUGUUUUGGAGCUGGAUUUUAUGUUAACUUGUUCUGAUUUAGGCGAAGUGAGGUGUAUGCAAUC